rnacentral:rRNA from 1 species
UACGGAGGGUGCGAGCGUUGUCCGGAAUCACUGGGCGUAAAGGGCGCGUAGGCGGCGUGACAAGUCACUUGUGAAAUCUCCGGGCUUAACCCGGAGCGGCCAAGUGAUACUGUCGUGCUAGAGUGCGGAAGGGGCUACUGGAAUUCUCGGUGUAGCGGUGAAAUGCGUAGAUAUCGAGAGGAACACCUGCGGCGAAGGCGGGUAGCUGGGCCGACACUGACGCUGAGGCGCGAAAGCCAGGGGAGCGAACGGG